CAAGCUUGUCGCUAUUGUCUCCCCAAACCCUCCUCUCUAAUCCCCUCCUCUUCAUUUAGAAGGAUUUCUUCUUAUUCAAAAUCAAAUCCAAGUCAACCCUCUCAAUCUGUGUCAAUCCAGCCUUCAAAUGAAAAUGAAACCCCUCCUCAACAGCACGCGGCUUCUCAAUCACCACUAUCACAAGAACAGCAACAACACCAAUCGGAGAAUUGAGGCGGAGAACUGGGGGAUUAGCACUUGGACAUUGCAGUGCAUAACGGUUGGCAACCACAAUUGGCUGUCCCGUCCGUAAGUAGCAAGGCCCUAGCGAAAAACUACACAGCCACUUAAAUGAUUCUGCGCGCCAAUCGAGAGAAACACAACCAGUAGUGUCUCCUCAGAGAGAUAGAGUGUACGGAUCUCAAACUCCAAGAACCUUAAACCAUUACCGUUCUUUUCUCUUCUCUUCUUUCUACUCACUGGUUUCCCGUAUUAGGGUUUCCUCUGCAUUCAAUGCGAAGUAAACAACAGAACAUGGAGACAGGGGAUUUUGGGUAUAGAAGGAAGGAGCGCGUAGCAUUG
rnacentral:misc_RNA from 1 species